GAUGAACGCUGGCGGCGUGCUUAACACAUGCAAGUCGAACGAUGAAGCCCAGCUUGCUGGGUGGAUUAGUGGCGAACGGGUGAGUAACACGUGAGUAACCUGCCCUUAACUCUGGGAUAAGCCUGGGAAACUGGGUCUAAUACCGGAUAGGAGCGCCUACCGCAUGGUGGGUGUUGGAAAGAUUUAUCGGGUUUGGAUGGACUCGCGGCCUAUCAGCUUGUUGGUGAGGUAAUGGCUCACCAAGGCGACGACGGGUAGCCGGCCUGAGAGGGUGACCGGCCACACUGGGACUGAGACACGGCCCAGACUCCUACGGGAGGCAGCAGUGGGGAAUAUUGCACAAUGGGCGAAAGCCUGAUGCAGCGACGCCGCGUGAGGGAUGACGGCCUUCGGGUUGUAAACCUCUUUCAGUAGGGAAGAAGCGAAAGUGACGGUACCUGCAGAAGAAGCACCGGCUAACUACGUGC
rnacentral:rRNA from 1 species